GGAGGGAGGGAGGGAUGGAGUAUUGGAGGGAUGGAGUUUUGGAGUGAGUGAGGGAUGGAGUAUUGGAGGGAGUGAGGGAGGGAUGGAGUAUUGGAGUGAGGGAUGGAGUAUUGGAGGGAUGGAGUAUUGGAGGGAGGAAGGAAGGGUGGAGGGGAGGGGAGGGAGGGAAGAAUGCAAUGAAUGGUUUACAAAACCCUGGUGUCAGCACAGACACCUCUUUGUCCUUAUCAUUUGUCCUCCCAGGGGCUUAGAGGCGAGAGGAGAGGCGUAGAGGGGAGGGGAGAGGCGUAGAGGGGAGGGGAGAGGAGAGGUGUAGCGGGAACAGAAGAGUGCUAGAGGGAAGAGGAGAGGAAUAGAGGGGAGAGGAGAGGUAGAGGGAAGAGGGAAGAGGAGAGGAAUAGAGGGGAGAGGAGAGGUAGAGUGGUAGAGGAGAGAGGAGAGGAAUAGAGGGGAGAGGAGAGGUAGAGUGGUAGAGGGAAGAGGAGAGGCGUAGAGGGGAGAAGAGAGAUUUAGAGGGGAGAGGAGAGAUUUAGAGGGGAGAGGAGAGGGGAGAGGAGAGGUAUAGAGAGGAGAGGAGAGGUGUAGAGAGGAGAGAUGUAGAGAGGAGAGGAGAGAUGUAGAGGGGAGAGGAGAGAUUUAGAGGGGAGAGGAGAGAUUUAGAGGGGAGAGGAGAGGUGUAGAGAGGAGAGGAGAGGUGUAGAGAGGAGAGAUUUAGAGGGGAGAGGAGAGAUUUAGAGGGGAGAGGAGAGGG
ensembl:lncRNA